rnacentral:rRNA from 1 species
UACGUAGGGUGCGAGCGUUAAUCGGAAUUACUGGGCGUAAAGCGCGCGUAGGCGGACCUGCAAGUCGGGGGUGAAAGCCCGAGGCUCAACCUCGGAACUGCCUUCGAUACUGCGGGUCUCGAGUCCGGGAGAGGUGAGUGGAAUUCCUAGUGUAGAGGUGAAAUUCGUAGAUAUUAGGAAGAACACCAGUGGCGAAGGCGGCUCACUGGCCCGGUACUGACGCUGAGGCGCGAAAGCUAGGGGAGCAAACAGG